rnacentral:rRNA from 1 species
UACAGAGGUCUCAAGCGUUGUUCGGAUUCAUUGGGCGUAAAGGGCGCGUAGGCGGCGCGGUAAGUCGGGUGUGAAAUCUCGGGGCUUAACUCCGAAACUGCAUUCGAUACUGCCGUGCUUGAGGACUGGAGAGGAGACUGGAAUUUACGGUGUAGCGGUGAAAUGCGUAGAUAUCGUGAGGAAGACCAGUGGCGAAGGCGGCUAUCUGGACAGAGUCUGACGCUGAGGCGCGAAAGCUAGGGGAGCAAACAGG